AUGAUGGGAAUUAAAAAAAAAAGGCACCACGCGGAAAUGCCACCGAGGGAGGCCAGCAGACCGCGGCGGGCUGGCGGGGGGCUCCCGUCAGGCGCUGCCUCCCCUCAGCACGGCGCUGACAGGGACAGGGGCACCGCUCGGCGACCCCCCCCUCAGCCGCCCCCCCCUCGGGGCCGGGACCCCCUCAGCACCCGCCCGCCCCCCUCCGUCCCCCGGCGCCUGCGCGGCGGGGCCGGGGCGGGCUCUCGGCGGCGGCGCCCCCUCUCUCCCCCCCUUCCCCCCCCCCGCGGCGCCACCGGGCGGCCGUUGGCCGGGCGCGUGCCCGCGCGGGCGGGCGGGCGAGCGCGCUCCGGCGGGUGCGUGCGCGCGCGCGCUCCGGCGGGUGCGUGCGGGCCGCCUCCCCGCAGCGAGGCGCCGCUCUGGCCGGCGGCCGGGCGGAGGGGGCCCGGCGGGUCCGCGCGGGGGCAUGGAGAGCCUGCUGGAGAACCCGGUGCGCGCCGUGCUGUACCUGAAGGAGCUCACCGCCAUCGUGCAGAACCAGCAGAGCCUCAUCCACACCCAGCGGCAGCGCAUCGACGAGCUGGAGCGGCGGCUGGACGAGCUGAGCACCGAGAACCGCAGCCUGCGCGGCCAGCAGCCGGCCCCCGGCGAGCCCCCCGCCGCCGCCGCGCCCCCCCCGGGACCGCCGCCCGAGCACCCCCCGGGGCCGCCGCCGCCUUCGCCGCCUUCCCCGCCGCCUCCGCCGGGCCGGCCCGAACCGCUCCAGCACCACCAACAGCUCCCGGCUCCGCCGCAGCAGCAGCAGCCGCCCGCGGGGAAACCGGCGGCGGGGGGCGGCCCCGGGGGCGGCCGGGCGGCCGGGCACCAGCACCCCCCCGCGCAGCCCCCCGCGGAGAAGGAGGGCAGGGAGAAGGGGUGCUGCAGCGCCCUGCUCCACCACAAGACCCCGCCGGCCAUCGGGAAGGGCAUCCUGAGCAGGAGACCGGAGGGCAAGUGUCCGUGGCCCGCCUGAGCCCACCCGGGCUGCCCGCUCGCACAGCAUCGUGCCCUCAUCGCCUGACAUAA
rnacentral:lncRNA from 1 species